GCGCACUUUGUCAGCACACACACUAAAUUUAGGACGACACAGAGAAGAUUGGCAUGGCUUCUGCACAGUGGGUAUGCAAAUCUGAAACAUUCCAUAUUUUC
rfam:Mus musculus chromosome 12, GRC primary reference assembly.